rnacentral:rRNA from 1 species
GACAGAGGGUGCAAACGUUGCUCGGAAUCACUGGGCGUAAAGGGCGCGUAGGCGGCCUUCUAAGUCGAACGUGAAAUCCCCGGGCUCAACCCGGGAACUGCGUCCGAGACUGAAAGGCUUGAAUCCGGGAGAGGGAUGUGGAAUUCCAGGUGUAGCGGUGAAAUGCGUAGAUAUCUGGAGGAAUACCGGUGGCGAAGGCGGCAUCCUGGACCGACAUUGACGCUGAGGAGCGAAAGCUAGGGGAGCAAACGGG